UGAAUGCACCUGCUCUCAUCUGAUCUUGGAAGCUAGGCA
rnacentral:rRNA from 1 species